UUUAUCUUUUUCAGGUUUCAAAAGCACCUGCAGUGUUUUUAAUCGAGUCUGCCCAAUACAUGGAUGACGAGUCGACAGACAUGCUGCAUAGACUUUUGCUGUUUACACAACGGAGCCUCCUCGUCAUCUUGGCUAUGCCAGUGGACUUGCGGAGCUCAUUGUCACGGCGAUUGUUUCACAUGAGGUCCCUCACAAUGAAAGUUACAAUAAUUCCCAACACAAGAUUGAAUGAAGCAGUUGCAAGUCAGAAAGAGUUGCAACUUUAUGAACAGUUCAAGCGGUAUUCUGAUUCUCACCCCGAUAUACUGGAAAAGUACGUGGUUGGAACGGUUCCCAAAACGGUGCAAAAAAGUUGGUUGGCCAAGAAAGAAACCCAGUGGAAAGAGCUUCUCAAAAAAUUUAAGAUUUUCAAAAAGAAGUCCACACGACAGAGUGUGCUUAUUUUUGAAGGACAUGAUGGGAGUACUGAAACCAUCAUGCAGCAUGUUUUCAAUACGUUGGAGGACAAAAAGAAGACGAAGAAGUUCUACAAAUAUCAUAGAAACCCAGUGGAAAGAGCUUCUCAAAAAAUUUAAGAUUUUCAAAAAGAAGUCCACACGACAGAGUGUGC
rnacentral:lncRNA from 1 species